rnacentral:rRNA from 1 species
GCUGGCGGCGUGCUAACACAUGCAAGUCGAGCGGUAACAGGUGUAGCAAUACAUGCUGACGAGCGGCGAACGGGUGAGUAAUGCUUCGGAAUCUGCCCAAUGGUGGGGAAUAACCAGCCGAAAGGUUGGCUAAUACCGCAUAAGUCCUACGGGGGAAAGCAGGGGAUCGCAAGACCUUGCGCCGAUGGAUGAGCCGAAGUCGGAUUAGCUAGUUGGUAGGGUAACGGCCUACCAAGGCGACGAUCCGUAGCUGGUCUGAGAGGACGACCAGCCACACUGGGACUGAGACACGGCCCAGACUCCUACGGGAGGCAGCAGUGGGGAAUAUUGGACAAUGGGGGAAACCCUGAUCCAGCGACGCCGCGUGUGUGAAGAAGGCCUGCGGGUUGUAAAGCACUUUUAGUGGGGAUGAAAAGCUCAGGGCUAACACCUCUGGGUCUUGACCUAACCCAAAGAAAAAGCACCGGCUAACUCUGUGCCAGCAGCCGCGGUAAUACAGAGGGUGCGAGCGUUAAUCGGAAUUACUGGGCGUAAAGCGUGCGUAGACGGUUAUGUAAGUCGGGUGUGAAAGCCCCGGGCUCAACC